AACUUUUUUAGUAUAAACAAUUAUAUUUGACUUCCAAUCAAAAGAUCUCAAUGAGAAAAAGUA
rnacentral:tRNA from 1 species